ensembl:lncRNA
CAGCAGGGAGGUUCCUCGAUGUCCGCCAGGGAGAUCGGAGCAUAGAGGAUUAUGCCUGGGACUUCGUGGGGGCGGCUCGGUUGUCAGCUGCAGAAAGGACCUGCCUAAUGGUCUGUUUCUGCGGAGGCCUAGCCGAGCCCUUCAGGUCCCUUAUGCCAUUCUGGCACCCUGAGAAGACGCUGGAGGACUAUAUCAACCUGGGCCUGCAGCUGAGUGGCUCAGCCGUCAGGUUGGGGGUGCUGACCCAGGAAGUUCCAGAGGCGGCGGUGGCCGCUCACCAGGUUCC